GAUGAACGCUGGCGGCGUGCCUAAUACAUGCAAGUCGAGCGAAUGGAUUAAGAGCUUGCUCUUAUGAAGUUAGCGGCGGACGGGUGAGUAACACGUGGGUAACCUGCCCAUAAGACUGGGAUAACUCCGGGAAACCGGGGCUAAUACCGGAUAACAUUUUGAACCGCAUGGUUCGAAAUUGAAAGGCGGCUUCGGCUGUCACUUAUGGAUGGACCCGCGUCGCAUUAGCGAGUUGGUGAGGUAACGGCUCACCAAGGCAACGAUGCGUAGCCGACCUGAGAGGGUGAUCGGCCACACUGGGACUGAGACACGGCCCAGACUCCUACGGGAGGCAGCAGUAGGGAAUCUUCCGCAAUGGACGAAAGUCUGACAGAGCAACGCCGCGUGAGUGAUGAAGGCUUUCGGGUCGUAAAACUCUGUUGUUAGGGAAGAACAAGUGCUAGUUGAAUAAGCUGGCACCUUGACGGUACCUAACCAGAAAGCCACGGCUAACUACGUGCCAGCCGCCGCGGUAA
rnacentral:rRNA from 1 species